rnacentral:rRNA from 1 species
AUUGAACGCUGGCGGCAUGCCUUACACAUGCAAGUCGGACGGCAGCACGGGUGCUUGCACCUGGUGGCGAGUGGCGAACGGGUGAGUAAUACAUCGGAACAUGUCCUGUAGUGGGGGAUAGCCCGGCGAAAGCCGGAUUAAUACCGCAUACGAUCUACGGAUGAAAGCGGGGGACCUUCGGGCCUCGCGCUAUAGGGUUGGCCGAUGGCUGAUUAGCUAGUUGGUGGGGUAAAGGCCUACCAAGGCGACGAUCAGUAGCUGGUCUGAGAGGACGACCAGCCACACUGGGACUGAGACACGGCCCAGACUCCUACGGGAGGCAGCAGUGGGGAAUUUUGGACAAUGGGCGAAAGCCUGAUCCAGCAAUGCCGCGUGUGUGAAGAAGGCCUUCGGGUUGUAAAGCACUUUUGUCCGGAAAGAAAUCCUUGGCCCUAAUACGGUCGGGGGAUGACGGUACCGGAAGAAUAAGCACCGGCUAACUACGCG